rnacentral:lncRNA from 1 species
GUUUCUCAGGGGUUUCUCAUGCAUUUCUCGUGGUCUAUGGCUUAUUUUAUGGAUCGAAUCGCGAUCUAACGAUCUGGGAUGCUACCGAUCGAGAUCAAUGGUCCAGGGAGGUUCUCUUGGCAUUAUUAGGAGUCUAAAUCCUAAUCUAAGUCGGUUGUAAGCCUUUAUAAGACUUUGAUCUAUGAACAAAUGGCACCGUGGUGCGGUUUCCUUUAGCAAAAAAUCAGAGAACCCACG